GGACUGGUGGCUCAGUGGUAGAAUUCUUGCUUUCCAUGCAAGAGACCCAGGUUUGAUUCCUGGCCAGUGUA
rnacentral:tRNA from 1 species